UAAAGCUCUCUCGCCUAAGUAGCUUAGCUUAGCUUGGUUUAAGGACUUGUCGGACUCAGCGCUCUGGUUUACRGCGCUUCCCAGAGCAACUUCCAGUCUGCCGUCACACCUCAGUGCUUCUUAAUCGUGCUGGACUAUGGCAUUACAUGACAACUCAUACAGAAUUGAAAGGGUGUGUUUGAAAAGAUACUGUAGGAUUUAAUACCAAAUGUGCAAAACACUUAUCACUGUACUGUAGGACUGUAUUACCAACUUCAUAACUGAACACACUGUUCAGAAAGUGCUUUUCCAACCAGAGUCUSUGUGAUCCCGAGCAUCUCUUGGUGGUUUUUGUUUGCAUAGAGGUGCUGGG